UCCCAGGUCCACAGGACAAAAACUCGCUAACCCCGUCAGGACCGGAAGGUAGCAGCGGUAUGCUUGAUGUUUUUGUUGCUGUGGGGGCCCUGGGACAU
rfam:Candidatus Glassbacteria bacterium RIFCSPLOWO2_12_FTLL_58_11 rifcsplowo2_12_scaffold_3932, whole genome shotgun sequence.